rnacentral:rRNA from 1 species
GAUGAACGCUGGCGGCGUGCCUAAUACAUGCAAGUCGAACGAGGCCCUCUUCCUUCGGGAGGAGGUGUCCUAGUGGCGAACGGGUGAGUAACACGUUGGUGACCUACCCCGAAGAGGGGGACAACCCCGGGAAACUGGGGCUAAUACCCCAUGUGAUCCUAAGGAUUAGAUGCCUAAGGAUGAAAUGGAGCAAUUCGCUUCGGGAGGGGCCUGCGGCCUAUCAGCUAGUUGGUGAGGUAAUGGCUCACCCAAGGCGACGACGGGUAGGGGACCUGAGAGGGUGACCCCCCACACUGGAACUGAAACACGGACCAGACACCUACGGGUGGCAGCAGUAGGGAAUAUUGCACAAUAGGCGAAAGCCUGAUGCAGCAACGCCGCGUGCGCGAUGAAGGCCUUAGGGUUGUAAAGCGCUUUUCUGGGGGACGAGAAAGGACGGUACCCCAGGAAUAAGUCUCGGCUAACUACGUG